rnacentral:rRNA from 1 species
GUUGUAUAGUCAAGUAAUUAAGUGCAUGUGGUGGAUGCCUUGGCAGUCAGAGGCGAUGAAAGACGUGAUAGCCUGCGAAAAGCUCCGGGGAGGCGGCAAAUAUCCUUUGAUCCGGAGAUGUCUGAAUGGGGGGAACCCACCUACUUUAAGGUAGGUAUUGCAACAUGAAUACAUAGUGUUGCAAGGCGAACGAGGGGAAGUGAAACAUCUCAGUACCCUUAGGAAAAGAAAUCAAUUGAGAUUCCCUCAGUAGCGGCGAGCGAACGGGGAUCAGCCCAUUAAGUUAUGUGUGUUUUAGUGGAACGCUCUGGGAAGUGCGAACGUAGAGGGUGAUAUUCCCGUACACGAAAGGGCACACAUAAUGAUGACGAGUAGGGCGAGGCACGUGAAACCUUGUCUGAAUAUGGGGGGGACCAUCCUCCAAGGCUAAAUACUCCUGACUGACCGAUAGUGAACCAGUACCGUGAGGGAAAGGCGAAAAAGAACCCCUGUGAGGGGAGUGAAAUAGAUCCUGAAACCGCAUGCAUACAAGCAGUGGGAGCACCUUCGUGGUGUGACUGCGUACCUUUGUAUAAUGGGUCAGCGACUUAUAUUCAGUAGCGAGGUUAACCGUAUAGGGGGAGCCGUAGAGAAAUCGAGUCUUAAUAGGGCGUUUAGUUGCUGGGUAUAGACCCGAAACCAGGCGAUCUAUCCAUGAGCAGGUUGAAGGUUGGGUAACACUAACUGGAGGACCGAACCCACUGUCGUUGAAAAGCCAGGGGAUGACUUGUGGAUAGGGGGUGAAAGGCUAAUCAAGCCUGGUGAUAGCUGGUUCUCCCCGAAAGCUAUUUAGGUAGCGCCUCGGACGAAUACCAUAGGGGGUAGAGCACUGUUUCGGCUAGGGGGUCAUCCCGACUUACCAAACCGAUGCAAACUCCGAAUACCUAUGAGUACUAUCCGGGAGACAGACUGCGGGUGCUAACGUCCGUAGUCAAGAGGAAAACAAUCCAGACCGCCAGCUAAGGCCCCAAAAUCAUAGUUAAGUGGGAAACGAUGUGGGAAGGCAUAGACAGCUAGGAGGUUGGCUUAGAAGCAGCCACCCUUUAAAGAAAGCGUAAUAGCUCACUAGUCGAGUCGGCCUGCGCGGAAGAUGUAACGGGGCUAAAACUAUGUGCCGAAGCUGCGGAUGUAUACUUUGUAUACGUGGUAGGGGAGCGUUCUGUAAGCCGAUGAAGGUGUGUUGAGAAGCAUGCUGGAGGUAUCAGAAGUGCGAAUGCUGACGUGAGUAACGACAAAACGGGUGAAAAACCCGUUCGCCGAAAGACCAAGGGUUCCAGUCCAACGUUAAUCGGGGCUGGGUGAGUCGACCCCUAAGGCGAGGCCGAAAGGCGUAGUCGAUGGGAAAAUGGUUAAUAUUCCAUUACUUCUGUGUAAUGCGAUGAGAGGACGGAGAAGGCUAAAUCAGCCUGGCGUUGGUUGUCCAGGUGAAAGGAUGUAGGCAUGUAUCUUAGGCAAAUCCGGGGUACUCUAUGCUGAGAUCUGAUAGCAAGCUGUACUUGUACAGCGAAGUGGUUGAUGCCAUGCUUCCAGGAAAAGUCUCUAAGCUUCAGUUACACAGGAAUCGUACCCGAAACCGACACAGGUGGUCAGGUCGAGUAGACCAAGGCGCUUGAGAGAACUCUGCUGAAGGAACUAGGCAAAAAUGGUACCGUAACUUCGGGAGAAGGUACGCUGUUGUUGGUGAUGGAACUCGCUUCCUGAGCUGACGACAGCCGCAGAAACCAGGCCGCUGCAACUGUUUAUUAAAAACAUAGCACUCUGCAAACACGAAAGUGGACGUAUAGGGUGUGAUGCCUGCCCGGUGCUGGAAGGUUAAUUGAUGGGGUUAGCGUAAGCGAAGCUCUUGAUCGAAGCCCCAGUAAACGGCGGCCGUAACUAUAACGGUCCUAAGGUAGCGAAAUUCCUUGUCGGGUAAGUUCCGACCUGCACGAAUGGCAUAAUGAUGGCGGCGCUGUCUCCAGCAGAGGCUCAGUGAAAUCGAAAUCGCUGUGAAGAUGCAGUGUACCCGCGGCUAGACGGAAAGACCCCGUGAACCUUUACUGCAGCUUGACACUGAACUUUGACCUUACUUGUGUAGGAUAGGUGGGAGGCUUUGAAGCUGGAACGCUAGUUCCAGUGGAGCCGUCCUUGAAAUACCACCCUGGUAAUGUUGAGGUUCUAACUCUGUCCCGUGAUCCGGGACGAGGACCGUGUCUGGUGGGUAGUUUGACUGGGGCGGUCUCCUCCUAAAGAGUAACGGAGGAGUACGAAGGUGCGCUCAGCGUGGUCGGAAAUCACGCGUAGAGUAUAAAGGCAAAAGCGCGCUUAACUGCGAGACCCACAAGUCGAGCAGGUACGAAAGUAGGUCUUAGUGAUCCGGUGGUUCUGUAUGGAAGGGCCAUCGCUCAACGGAUAAAAGGUACUCUGGGGAUAACAGGCUGAUACCGCCCAAGAGUUCAUAUCGACGGCGGUGUUUGGCACCUCGAUGUCGGCUCAUCUCAUCCUGGGGCUGAAGCAGGUCCCAAGGGUAUGGCUGUUCGCCAUUUAAAGAGGUACGCGAGCUGGGUUUAGAACGUCGUGAGACAGUUCGGUCCCUAUCUACCGUGGGCGCUGGAAAUUUGAGAGGAUCUGCUCCUAGUACGAGAGGACCAGAGUGGACGAACCUCUGGUGUACCGGUUGUGACGCCAGUCGCAUCGCCGGGUAGCUAUGUUCGGAAGGGAUAACCGCUGAAAGCAUCUAAGCGGGAAGCCUACCUCAAGAUAAGAUUUCCCUAGGACUUUAUGUCCUCUAAAGAGCCGUUCGAGACUAGGACGUUGAUAGGUUGGAUGUGGAAGCAUAGUGAUAUGUGAAGCUGACCAAUACUAAUUGCUCGUGAGGCUUGACUAUACAACACCCAAGCAGUUG